AGGAUCCGGAUGUCAAAUGUGUCCUGGGAAAGACCACAAGGGUGACCUGGCUUCGAGCUCAGGGGCCAGCAAGGCAAGGGAGAGUCCUGCUCUUCUCUCUGAGUCUGGCCAUGGCCUCCAGGCCAUUCAGGUCAAACCAGUUAGCCCUUGUCAGACAUGCUGGAGGAGGAUGAACUUUUACCACACCAUGGAGGACAAUUAGAUGACAGCUCUCAAAAUAACAAGUGUUCAUAUGCAUUAAAGACUUCCACUCCCAGGAGUUCAACCUACAGAUAGAUGUGCACAUGUACAAAUUCACACAUCUAAUUACAGACUGUCUAUAGUAGUGACACACUGGAAAACAUCUAAUUAAACUGGUGGUCCAUCCAUAAAAGGCUGUAUGUGACAAACAACAAAGAAGCUCUUUAUGAACAUACGGGGAAAGAUCUCUGAGAUAAGCAAGUCAGAGAACUGUGUGCUGAUGUCCAAUCACAGCUACGAUGCAGAUUUUCUAUCAGACUUACAUUCUUGCCAAGAAUUAUAUGAGCCGAAUAAAAUACAAAGGAAAAAACCCAGUUGCUUGAAAGCACUGGAGAGCAAUAGCAGCAGCCAAAGCUUUGGGGGCCAAGAUCCUAGAAAGAAGGGAGGUGUUUUUUCCUGUGCCUUUCCCUCUCGAUAUGGGACCUUUCAGCGGCUUCCCUGGGUCGAGAAAGCAAAAUGGGGGCUCAGGGUUACCAAGGCAGUUGGGACACAAGGAGCCAAGAUGCUAAAGCGUGAUUCUAAUGUGCAGCCAAGGUUGAGAACCACUGUGCUAAAGGAAAUGUGGAAAUAUAAGGUGCAUGUGCUGCAUGUGAUUUCACUUUGUGGCAUUUGCCAAUUCCUGAGCUGUGUGUAGGAUGGGAGUUAGAGGACAAGAGACCAAGCAGAAGGCACUAAAAAGCUAAGGAAAGGUUCAGCACCAUAUUAGUGCUGGGAGGUUAGAACCAGGGCCCACAUAAACCACUGCAGGCUACACCCUAAAGCAGCAGCAGUUCUCAAAGUGUGGUUCCUUCCAAAGCACCCAAGGUCAAAACUAUUUUCACAAUAAGACUCAGAUGUUUUCUGCCCAAAUUCAUUUAACUCAUCUGUGAUAUCACAACAGAGGAAUCCAAAUUUAAAAUGCCAGUAUCCUCACUGCAAAGUUUUGGACAACAGUUUUUGUUCUUAAAAAUGCUACUUAUGUUAAUAGACAAUGGUUUCACUACUGUUGUUUUUUUAAAUGAGUUAAUAAAUAUUUUUAAAUUUC